GUUACAAUAUGGUGUACUCGGUGUCAGUAGAAAAAGAAAUGGCUAGAGGAAGUUGUAAUUCUAAUUACAAAGCAUGUGUAAUUAAAGCAUUGUGUAAUUUAAUUUCCCACUGAAGAGGAGGAAAAACAUCCCCUUCUUAGUUUUGUUUUGCUAAAGAUUAAUGGAUAGCCAACAAUUGUCCCUUCUUACUAACUAGAUGCUUCUCAAACUUUUUACGGACAUGUUAUGUGGAGGAAAAACGCAGCAGGAUCUAAGAGUACAAUCUUAUAAUUGGCUCUCUGUGGUAUAAAAUUGAAGUCUCACUUUAUCUUAAAUUUAUGUACAUAGAUCUUGCUUUCUGUUAAUCAGAUAUCGUAAAGCCAGGUCUCAUCAUAAAGCCAGUUCUCCUCUUAAAGAUAUGAAACUAAACUGUAAAAAAAAUUAGACUAUAAAAAUACCAAAAUUUUUUUAUUUCUAAAAUACAUUGAUAGAAAGUUUAUGACAGCUGGUCUGUAGACUAGUGACAGUCUGCGGGGGUGCUUUUGUCCAUCUGUUGUGAAAGGAGGAAAAAAAGCACAUGUACAAUAUUGUCUUUAACUAUAAAUUAAAUAUAAUAUAUAUGUGAUGCUAUAAAGCUGCCUACUGCCCUUUAUCAAAGUGCUCUUUUAUUUAGAUUAUGGAAAUACAUGCUUAAUUUCCUUUAACACUGCCAGAUUUCUCUCCAUAAAUGGCUUUUUAUAACCAGUACUCUGUGGAAAGGCAUGAAAGUUCCAUGUUUCCCCAAACCCUUACCACCACCAGAAAUAUCUGAUUUCCAUGUUCUGGCAGAUCUCAUUAUAAUUUUCCUUUGUCAGAUUAUUCAUAAAGUUGUACAUCCAUAUCAUUUUUUGCCAUUUUGAUUUUUCAUUUUGCCAAUUGGUUAUUCAUAUCCUUUGCUCAACUUUCCAUUGAGUGUCCUAAUUUUUCUUAUUGAUCCAUCAGAAUUUCUUGUAUAUUCUUGAUUAGGGAUCAACAAACUACAGCCUUGUAGGCUAAAUCCUGCUUGGUACUGAUUUUGGCACAGUUUUAUUGGAACACAGCCACAUUCAUUCAUAUAUGUAUUGUCUUAGGAUGCUUUUGUUCUACAAUGGCUGAGUUGAGCAAUUGCAGCAGAGACCAUAUAGCCCACAAAGGCUAAAAUAUUUGCUCUAUUUUUCAAAUAAACAGAAUAGGCCAGGGAUUUAGCUCAGUGGUUUCACAGCCUGCUGCGCAUGCGCAAGGACCCAAGUUCGAUCUCUGGUACCAAAAAAAAAAAAUUAAAUAAAAAAAAAUAAACAAUAACCCAUGCUCCCGAUAUCAAUCUUAUCCACUUAAGAUGUUGCAAAUAAUUUUUACAAUCUGUUACCCAUUUGUAAAUUUUAUUUAUGAAUUGUUGAAUAAAGAUCUUUACUUUCUUGACUUA
ensembl:lncRNA